rnacentral:rRNA from 1 species
UACGUAGGGUGCGAGCGUUGUCCGGAAUUACUGGGCGUAAAGAGCUCGUAGGUGGUUUGUCGCGUUGUUCGUGAAAACUCACAGCUCAACUGUGGGCGUGCGGGCGAUACGGGCAGACUGGAGUACUGCAGGGGAGACUGGAAUUCCUGGUGUAGCGGUGGAAUGCGUAGAGAUCGGGAAGAACAUCAGUGGCGAAGGCGGUCUGCUGGGCCGUUGCUGACGCUGAGGCGCGACAGCGUGGG